UUUAAAUCACUCCUUUCAAAUCCCGACAGAUAUGUGUUAACUCGUAUAUACACAGUCGUCGCAUUGAAACACACACACUGGACAGUUUUACAACAUGCCGCCCAAGGAAAAUGCCAAGGAAGAAAAUUCAAACUACUUCACCUGGACACAGCUUCUCGUGGCCGUGUCCGUGUCCUUGUGCUCCUUCUGCACUGGCUUCUGCGGUGCUUACACCUCUCCGGCCUUGCCCUCCAUGAAGGGCGAUGAUGGCAAGUUCUCGAUCACAUCCCAGGAAGAGUCUUGGGUGGGUGGCCUUAUGCCACUGGCCUGUCUUGUGGGCGGCAUUCUCGGCGGCCUACUGAUCAUGUAUAUUGGCAGGAAGUGGACAAUUAUGAUCACGGCUCCUCCGUUCAUUAUCGGCUGGCUGCUGAUCGGCUUUGCCACAGCUAUCGGCAUGGUGCUGGCUGGUCGCGUGUUCUGCGGUCUGGCCGUGGGCCUGGCCACCUUGGUCCUGCCCGUCUAUCUGGGCGAGACGUUGCAUCCGAAUGUGCGCGGGACCCUGGGAUUAAUGCCCACCCUGCUGGGCAACGGGGGCCUGUUGCUCUGCUACGCCUUUGGGUCCUUUCUCAACUGGUACUUACUGGCCUUCGCUGGGGCCAUAUUCUGCAUUCCCUUUAUCAUUCUGACCCUGUUCGUGCCGGAGACACCGCGCUACCUUUUGUCGCGCGGCAAGCCCGAGAAGGCCCAAAAGUCGCUCGCCUGGCUGCGUGGCAAGACCGGCGACGUCGAUGCAGAGAUGAAGGAGUUGGCCAGCACCCAGGGCGAGACGGCUAAUGCCAAGAGCACGUAUGGGGACAUGUUCAAGAAGCGCAACCGCAAGCCCAUUCUCAUAUCCCUCGGCCUGAUGCUGUUCCAGCAGAUGAGCGGCAUCAAUGUGGUGAUCUUCUACACCCAUCAGAUCUUUCUGGACGCCGGCUCCACCAUUAAGCCGGCCAUUGCUACGGUCAUUGUGGGCUUGGUCAACUUUGUGGCCACUCUAAUAGCCACCGCUGUAAUCGAUCGAGUGGGACGCAAGGUCCUGCUAUACAUCUCCGACACGACCAUGAUUAUCACCCUGUUCACGCUGGCCAUAUUCUUUUUCGGCAAGCACAAGGACUGGGAUCUCUCGGGUGUGGGAUGGCUGCCGCUGGUGGCCGCCGGUUUUUAUGUGCUGGGCUUCUCCGUGGGCUUCGGACCCAUUCCCUGGCUAAUGAUGGGCGAGAUAAUGCCGGCCAGUGUCCGUGCUCCGGCUGCCUCUGUGGCCACCGCUUUUAACUGGCUGUGCACUUUCAUAGUCACCAAAACGUAUAUGGACAUGAUCUCUCUGAUCAAUAGCUAUGGCGCCUUUUCCGUAUAUUGUGUGUGCUGCAUUAUAGGCAUGAUAUUUGUCAUCUUCUUUGUGCCCGAAACCAAGGGCAAGUCCCUGGAGCAAAUCGAGGCAGAGCUCACUGGAGGGAAGGAAUAGAUGCAUACACGGAAAUAUUUCCCAUUCAGCAUUAAUUCCAGUUUUUAUUAUUUCGUUCCCGCUGGAGUUUUCUGCCUCUCUUUUUUUGUGCUGCCAAAUAAGUUUCUGCACCUCACGGCGACGGCUCUUCCCCACCCUCCUUCCUGCUUUACGUGGCAGUUACUCAUAUGAUUUUGUGGCUACAAAGUUGAGGCGUAAAUAAAAUUAUUCCAUAUUUUUGCUA
rnacentral:misc_RNA from 1 species